CCUACGGGUGGCAGCAGUGAGGAAUAUUGGUCAAUGGGCGAGAGCCUGAACCAGCCAAGUCGCGUGAAGGAUGAAGGAUCUAUGGGUUGUAAACUUCUUUUAUAUGAGAAUAAAGUGAGGAACGUGUUCCUGUUUGUAUGUACCAUAUGAAUAAGCAUCGGCUAACUCCGUGCCAGCAGCCGCGGUAAUACGGAGGAUGCGAGCGUUAUCCGGAUUUAUUGGGUUUAAAGGGUGCGUAGGUGGUUAGUUAAGUCAGCGGUGAAAUUUUGUGGCUCAACCAUAAAAUUGCCGUUGAAACUGGUUGACUUGAGUAUAUUUGAGGUAGGCGGAAUGCGUGGUGUAGCGGUGAAAUGCAUAGAUAUCACGCAGAACUCCGAUUGCGAAGGCAGCUUACCAACCUAUAACUGACACUGAAGCACGAAAGCGUGGGGAUCAAACAGGAUUAGAUACCCUAGUAGUC
rnacentral:rRNA from 1 species